GACGAACGCUGGCGGCGUGCCUAAUACAUGCAAGUAGAACGCACAGUUUAUACCGUAGCUUGCUACACCAUAGACUGUGAGUUGCGAACGGGUGAGUAACGCGUAGGUAACCUGCCUGGUAGCGGGGGAUAACUAUUGGAAACGAUAGCUAAUACCGCAUAAUAUUGAUUAUUGCAUGAUAAUUAAUUGAAAGGUGCAAUUGCACCACUACCAGAUGGACCUGCGUUGUAUUAGCUAGUAGGUGAGGUAACGGCUCACCUAGGCGACGAUACAUAGCCGAACGGAGAUGGUGAUCGGCCACACUGGGACUGAGACACGGCCCAGACUCCCACGGGAGGCAGCAGUAGGGAAUCUUCGGCAAUGGACGAAAGUCUGACCGAGCAACGCCGAGUGAGUGAAGAAGGUUUUCGGAUCGUAAAGCUCUGUUGUAAGAGAAGAACGGGUGUGAGAGUGGAAAGUUCACACUGUGACGGUAUCUUACCAGAAAGGGACGGCUAACUACGUG
rnacentral:rRNA from 1 species